AUUGAACGCUGGCGGCAGGCCUAACACAUGCAAGUCGAACGGUAACAGGAAACAGCUUGCUGUUUCGCUGACGAGUGGCGGACGGGUGAGUAAUGUCUGGGAAACUGCCUGAUGGAGGGGGAUAACUACUGGAAACGGUAGCUAAUACCGCAUAACGUCUCAAGCCCAAAGAGGGGGACCCUCGGGCCUCUUGCCAUCGGAUGUGCCCAGAUGGGAUUAGCUUGUUGGUGGGGUAACGGCUCACCAAGGCGACGAUCCCUAGCUGGUCUGAGAGGAUGACCAGCCACACUGGAACUGAGACACGGUCCAGACUCCUACGGGAGGCAGCAGUGGGGAAUAUUGCACAAUGGGCGAAAGCCUGAUGCAGCCAUGCCGCGUGUAUGAAGAAGGCCUUCGGGUUGUAAAGUACUUUCAGCGGGGAGGAAGGGAGUAAAAUUAAUACCUUUGCUCAUUGACGUUACCCGCAGAAGAAGCACCGGCUAACUCCGUG
rnacentral:rRNA from 1 species